ensembl:lncRNA
CAGACAUUCACAAGCUCAUUUGGAUUUACAGUAUAAAUGAUUCAAAGCCAACACACUGUGAACACGAAUACAGUGCAGAGACAAUAGAGUCAAAAUACUAAAGUACUGAACGCAAAAUGAAAAGAGAGUUAAUGACGUCACAUUCACACUCUCAGAGAGUCCAAGUUGUUUAGCAUUAAUGUUUUAUUCAUCAUGACACUGAUCUGUUGUUACGCAGUGACUGUGACGUAUGCUGGGACCUGCUCUAAGGAGUUUAUCCUAAUGGGCUCGUCUGAACUUAUUUAACAGAAUCAAAAUGCAGAUUCAUUGAAACGGACUGUGGAGAACGCUGGAACAACAACAUCCACCUGUGACGCUGUCUGGGAGCUUUCACCUGUAUCAUGAGCUCAGCGGUGAAGAAAUCAGGUUCAGUUUACUGAAGCAUCAUUGUAAUAGCAGCUACGUGACAGUUGAAGAGGGCGUUGUUUCUCCUCCAUGUUUCACAAAGUCGGCAACUUUCUUCCUCCCGUUAAACUGUCUGCUCAGUCUGAGCUCAUGUGCCAAGCGCUGGUCACCACCGUCUCAGAGGAGAUGCUGUAGCCUUGACCUUUGUGGAUCAGCCACUGAGAUUCAUCAGCCAGCGUCACUCUGAGGGAAGAGAAAACGUAAUGAGUCUGACGCUGCACUCGUCAAACAUCUGAGAGUCCGAGAAUCGAGCUGUCAAAGCACGUCUGUGAACUCAAGGAAGGAAAGGAACAAAUCUGAGGAUGUAAGAAGUGCAGCGGAGUCUGGACAGAGUAAGAAAUGCGACAGUUGGACGCAAUCUGAACCUUUUCAAAGAAUAGCAAAGAGGUGUGAUGUCAAAUGAAAAGAAAUGUGAUUUACAUCCAAAACAAAGCUUCGGCUGUGGUUUGUCUUUGUUUUGUAGCAAAGGUUAAAAAUGUUUCUUGCCUGGAAACAUAAAAACCAGUCUGGGCUCAGAUAUGAUGACAUCUGUCAUGUCGGCUUCAGAAGCAGCCGUUAGCAGAAGCUGCGGUAAAGUGGAAGAAAACUUUGAAGGAACCUGAGGCAGCAUCGUUUUCUGUGACGCUCGUAGGCUUGUAGGUUUUUAUAUACAGUCAGGUCCAUAAAUAUUUGUACAGAGACUUAUUUUCUAAUGUUGGCUCUGUACAUUACCACAAUGAAAUGCAGACUUGCAGCUUUGAUUCAAUGGGUUGGACAAAAAGAUUACAUAAAAAUGCGAGAAACUAAAGUACUGUUAGCACAAUCCCUUUGUUUUAGAAGCUCUAAAGAAUUUGGACAAAUUAAAUAACUGAAAAUAAAAUGAUCGUUUCUAUGACUUUAUUCCAAACACUUUGCUGAAUGCUAGUUUCCUGCUUUUUAAUGCUCUGCCACGCCUUUACUGCAACGACCUUCAGCUGAUGUUUGUUUGUGGCCUUUCUGUCCAAAGUUCAGAGUGAAAUGCUGAGCUGGGUUAGGAUCAGGUGACAGACUUGGACAUUGAAGAAUAUUCCACUUCUUCUCUUUAAUAAACUCCUGAGGUGCUUUGGUGGAUGUUCUGAGUCAUUGUCCAUCUGUUUUAUGAAACGAGUCCCAGUUUGGCUGCAUUUAGCAGGACGUGAGUACACAGUUUGUCUCUGAACACCUCAGAUUCAUUCAGCUGCUUCUGUCCUGUGUCACAUCAUCA